rnacentral:rRNA from 1 species
GGUUAAGCGACUAAGCGUACACGGUGGAUGCCCUGGCAGUCAGAGGCGAUGAAGGACGUGCUAAUCUGCGAUAAGCGUCGGUAAGGUGAUAUGAACCGUUAUAACCGGCGAUUUCCGAAUGGGGAAACCCAGUGUGUUUCGACACACUAUCAUUAACUGAAUCCAUAGGUUAAUGAGGCGAACCGGGGGAACUGAAACAUCUAAGUACCCCGAGGAAAAGAAAUCAACCGAGAUUCCCCCAGUAGCGGCGAGCGAACGGGGAGCAGCCCAGAGCCUGAAUCAGUGUGUGUGUUAGUGGAAGCGUCUGGAAAGGCGCGCGAUACAGGGUGACAGCCCCGUACACAAAAAUGCACAUACUGUGAGCUCGAUGAGUAGGGCGGGACACGUGGUAUCCUGUCUGAAUAUGGGGGGACCAUCCUCCAAGGCUAAAUACUCCUGACUGACCGAUAGUGAACCAGUACCGUGAGGGAAAGGCGAAAAGAACCCCGGCGAGGGGAGUGAAAAAGAACCUGAAACCGUGUACGUACAAGCAGUGGGAGCCUCUUAAUGGGGUGACUGCGUACCUUUUGUAUAAUGGGUCAGCGACUUAUAUUCUGUAGCAAGGUUAACCGAAUAGGGGAGCCGAAGGGAAACCGAGUCUUAACUGGGCGUUAAGUUGCAGGGUAUAGACCCGAAACCCGGUGAUCUAGCCAUGGGCAGGUUGAAGGUUGGGUAACACUAACUGGAGGACCGAACCGACUAAUGUUGAAAAAUUAGCGGAUGACUUGUGGCUGGGGGUGAAAGGCCAAUCAAACCGGGAGAUAGCUGGUUCUCCCCGAAAGCUAUUUAGGUAGCGCCUCGUGAAUUCAUCUCCGGGGGUAGAGCACUGUUUCGGCAAGGGGGUCAUCCCGACUUACCAACCCGAUGCAAACUGCGAAUACCGGAGAAUGUUAUCACGGGAGACACACGGCGGGUGCUAACGUCCGUCGUGAAGAGGGAAACAACCCAGACCGCCAGCUAAGGUCCCAAAGUCAUGGUUAAGUGGGAAACGAUGUGGGAAGGCCCAGACAGCCAGGAUGUUGGCUUAGAAGCAGCCAUCAUUUAAAGAAAGCGUAAUAGCUCACUGGUCGAGUCGGCCUGCGCGGAAGAUGUAACGGGGCUAAACCAUGCACCGAAGCUGCGGCAGCGACACUAUGUGUUGUUGGGUAGGGGAGCGUUCUGUAAGCCUGCGAAGGUGUACUGUGAGGUAUGCUGGAGGUAUCAGAAGUGCGAAUGCUGACAUAAGUAACGAUAAAGCGGGUGAAAAGCCCGCUCGCCGGAAGACCAAGGGUUCCUGUCCAACGUUAAUCGGGGCAGGGUGAGUCGACCCCUAAGGCGAGGCCGAAAGGCGUAGUCGAUGGGAAACAGGUUAAUAUUCCUGUACUUGGUGUUACUGCGAAGGGGGGACGGAGAAGGCUAUGUUGGCCGGGCGACGGUUGUCCCGGUUUAAGCGUGUAGGCUGGUUUUCCAGGCAAAUCCGGAAAAUCAAGGCUGAGGCGUGAUGACGAGGCACUACGGUGCUGAAGCAACAAAUGCCCUGCUUCCAGGAAAAGCCUCUAAGCAUCAGGUAACAUCAAAUCGUACCCCAAACCGACACAGGUGGUCAGGUAGAGAAUACCAAGGCGCUUGAGAGAACUCGGGUGAAGGAACUAGGCAAAAUGGUGCCGUAACUUCGGGAGAAGGCACGCUGAUAUGUAGGUGAAGUCCCUUGCGGAUGGAGCUGAAAUCAGUCGAAGAUACCAGCUGGCUGCAACUGUUUAUUAAAAACACAGCACUGUGCAAACACGAAAGUGGACGUAUACGGUGUGACGCCUGCCCGGUGCCGGAAGGUUAAUUGAUGGGGUUAGCGGUAACGCGAAGCUCUUGAUCGAAGCCCCGGUAAACGGCGGCCGUAACUAUAACGGUCCUAAGGUAGCGAAAUUCCUUGUCGGGUAAGUUCCGACCUGCACGAAUGGCGUAAUGAUGGCCAGGCUGUCUCCACCCGAGACUCAGUGAAAUUGAACUCGCUGUGAAGAUGCAGUGUACCCGCGGCAAGACGGAAAGACCCCGUGAACCUUUACUAUAGCUUGACACUGAACAUUGAGCCUUGAUGUGUAGGAUAGGUGGGAGGCUUUGAAGUGUGGACGCCAGUCUGCAUGGAGCCGGCCUUGAAAUACCACCCUUUAAUGUUUGAUGUUCUAACGUUGGCCCCUGAUCGGGGUUGCGGACAGUGUCUGGUGGGUAGUUUGACUGGGGCGGUCUCCUCCUAAAGAGUAACGGAGGAGCACGAAGGUUGGCUAAUCCUGGUCGGACAUCAGGAGGUUAGUGCAAUGGCAUAAGCCAGCUUGACUGCGAGCGUGACGGCGCGAGCAGGUGCGAAAGCAGGUCAUAGUGAUCCGGUGGUUCUGAAUGGAAGGGCCAUCGCUCAACGGAUAAAAGGUACUCCGGGGAUAACAGGCUGAUACCGCCCAAGAGUUCAUAUCGACGGCGGUGUUUGGCACCUCGAUGUCGGCUCAUCACAUCCUGGGGCUGAAGUAGGUCCCAAGGGUAUGGCUGUUCGCCAUUUAAAGUGGUACGCGAGCUGGGUUUAGAACGUCGUGAGACAGUUCGGUCCCUAUCUGCCGUGGGCGCUGGAGAACUGAGGGGGGCUGCUCCUAGUACGAGAGGACCGGAGUGGACGCAUCACUGGUGUUCGGGUUGUCAUGCCAAUGGCACUGCCCGGUAGCUAAAUGCGGAAGAGAUAAGUGCUGAAAGCAUCUAAGCACGAAACUUGCCCCGAGAUGAGUUCUCCCUGACUCUUUAAGGGUCCUGAAGGAACGUUGAAGACGACGACGUUAAUAGGCCGGGUGUGUAAGCGCAGCGAUGCGUUGAGCUAACCGGUACUAAUGAACCGUGAGGCUUAACCUU